UACAGAGGGUGCGAGCGUUAAUCGGAAUUACUGGGCGUAAAGCGUGCGUAGACGGUUGUGUAAGUCGGAUGUGAAAGCCCCGGGCUUAACCUGGGAACUGCAUUCGAGACUGCAUAGCUAGGAUGCGGAAGAGGGAAGUGGAAUUUCCGGUGUAGCGGUGAAAUGCGUAGAUAUCGGAAGGAACAUCAGUGGCGAAAGCGACUUCCUGGUCCAGCAUCGACGUUCAGGCACGAAAGCGUGGGGAGCAAACAGG
rnacentral:rRNA from 1 species